rnacentral:rRNA from 1 species
CCUUACGGGUGGCAGCAGUGGGGAAUAUUGGACAAUGGGGGCAACCCUGAUCCAGCCAUGCCGCGUGUGUGAAGAAGGCCCUCGGGUUGUAAAGCACUUUCAGUGAGGAAGAACGCCUGGUGGUUAAUACCCAUCAGGAAAGACAUCACUCACAGAAGAAGCACCGGCUAACUCCGUGCCAGCAGCCGCGGUAAUACGGAGGGUGCGAGCGUUAAUCGGAAUUACUGGGCGUAAAGCGCGCGUAGGUGGCUUGAUAAGCCGGUUGUGAAAGCCCCGGGCUCAACCUGGGAACGGCAUCCGGAACUGUCAAGCUAGAGUGCAGGAGAGGAAGGUAGAAUUCCCGGUGUAGCGGUGAAAUGCGUAGAGAUCGGGAGGAAUACCAGUGGCGAAGGCGGCCUUCUGGACUGACACUGACACUGAGGUGCGAAAGCGUGGGUAGCAAACAGGAUUAGAUACCCCUGUAGUC